ACGCGCGUGUGACCGGUCGCUGCCUUUCGGGGCAGAGGAAAGUCCGGACUCCACAGGGCGGAGGACCCGUUUGUCAAAGACGGGAGACAUCGGGAAAGCCGAUGUUAUGGAAAGUGCCACAGAAAACAAACAGCGAGGCGUUCGCGCCUUGUGAUGGUGAAAGGGCGGGGUAAGAGCCCACCGGCCCAUCUGAAACGAUGGGCGCACGGAAAACCCUCCUCGGAGCAAGAUCAAAUAGGGAAUCGACGGGCUGCCCGUCCGGUGUGAACAAAUUUGUUUGCUUAAGAUUCCGGGUUGAUCGCGUAGAUGAAUGAUCGGACCUUCCAUCGCCCUUUGGACUUUGGAGGGGAACAGAAUCUGGCUUAUUCGCCGCGUGUCGCU
rnacentral:RNase_P_RNA from 1 species